AUUGAACGCUGGCGGCAGGCCUAACACAUGCAAGUCGAGCGGAUGACGGGAGCUUGCUCCUUGAUUCAGCGGCGGACGGGUGAGUAAUGCCUAGGAAUCUGCCUGGUAGUGGGGGACAACGUUCCGAAAGGAGCGCUAAUACCGCAUACGUCCUACGGGAGAAAGUGGGGGAUCUUCGGACCUCACGCUAUCAGAUGAGCCUAGGUCGGAUUAGCUAGUUGGUGAGGUAAAGGCUCACCAAGGCGACGAUCCGUAACUGGUCUGAGAGGAUGAUCAGUCACACUGGAACUGAGACACGGUCCAGACUCCUACGGGAGGCAGCAGUGGGGAAUAUUGGACAAUGGGCGAAAGCCUGAUCCAGCCAUGCCGCGUGUGUGAAGAAGGUCUUCGGAUUGUAAAGCACUUUAAGUUGGGAGGAAGGGCAGUAAGUUAAUACCUUGCUGUUUUGACGUUACCGACAGAAUAAGCACCGGCUAACUCUGUG
rnacentral:rRNA from 1 species